UCCUACGGGGGGCAGCAGUGAGGAAUAUUGGUCAAUGGGAGAGAUCCUGAACCAGCCAAGCCGCGUGAGGGAAGACGGCCCUAUGGGUUGUAAACCUCUUUUGUCGGAGAACAAAACCCGGGACGUGUCCCGGACUGCGUGUAUCCGAAGAAAAAGCAUCGGCUAACUCCGUGCCAGCAGCCGCGGUAAUACGGAGGAUGCGAGCGUUAUCCGGAUUUAUUGGGUUUAAAGGGUGCGUAGGCGGGAUGCCAAGUCAGCGGUAAAAAUGCGGUGCUCAACGCCGUCGAGCCGUUGAAACUGGCGUU
rnacentral:rRNA from 1 species